GACGAACGCUGGCGGCGUGCUUAACACAUGCCAGUCGAACGGAAAGGCCCUGCUUUUGUGGGGUGCUCGAGUGGCGAACGGGUGAGUAACACGUGAGUAACCUGCCCUUGACUUUGGGAUAACUUCAGGAAACUGGGGCUAAUACCGGAUAGAAGCUCCUGCUGCAUGGUGGGGGUUGGAAAGUUUCGGCGGUUGGGGAUGGACUCGCGGCUUAUCAGCUUGUUGGUGGGGUAGUGGCUUACCAAGGCUUUGACGGGUAGCCGGCCUGAGAGGGUGACCGGCCACAUUGGGACUGAGAUACGGCCCAGACUCCUACGGGAGGCAGCAGUGGGGAAUAUUGCACAAUGGGCGGAAGCCUGAUGCAGCAACGCCGCGUGCGGGAUGACGGCCUUCGGGUUGUAAACCGCUUUCGCCUGUGACGAAGCGUGAGUGACGGUAAUGGGUAAAGAAGCACCGGCUAACUACGUG
rnacentral:rRNA from 1 species